GCAGAAUAGGCGUGGCCACAUGCACGCACACAGUGUGACCGCAUGUAUUCUGUGUACCACCUUGCAUUGUUCCGGGUUUUCUCUGUUCAAGCCAGAUUCCUGCUGCGGGCAGGUGACGAUCAAUGGCAACGUGGCAUGCAGAUGGUGUGCCGCCUACUGCUGAGCUAGCGCUGUGGUGACCCCAUCCGCCGCCUGUGCGUGCUAUGAGGGCGUCCCUCCCGGUGGUGUGCCCGAUAUGCUACGCGUGAUUUGCGGAUUGCUCAAUGGGGGGAGGAGGGCGAAGCAUCCCGCACUUCACGCUAUAGUUGUGCACGCAAUAACGGGAUCGCGCAUACCUCGCUCGCGCUGCGUGGGCUCCUCAACUGUAGGGUAUCUUUGGCCGCCUUCACGCCCUAUGCCUUCUCACGAGGACAAGCCUUCAGUUCUCUGUGCGCAGGCGCGUGCCUAUCCGAGAGUUCCCUUUCGCUCGACACACCCAGUCCUGUCGCGGCACAUGCAGGCGGACCAUGCGGGCAUGCCCCCUCCCCCGGCAACAACGCUGUCCCGGAACAGGCCCCACCAUGCAGAAAAUGUGUGCACUGCACGCACUGGCUGCCUUGCAUAGCUGGCAUGGCGUAUCGCAUCCACGCAAGGCAUUCAGCGGUGAGCAGAGAACGAGUGUUGAACGAGAAAGUCACGAAGAGAUCCACACGAAUCAGCCCCCAAAGUGCAUGCGCUGCGAAAUGCGCGGCAUCUCCUGCAUCCGACCGGGCCGGCAGAUGCAGCGCGGAUGCCAGGAGCAUGAGGAGAACACCGCUCGUUGCACUGUGGGGUCCUCCAGAUGUGAAUAUGGAGAGUCUCCGUAUCAUGGGAUGCCACGGCUUGAGGCGACUGUGGGCGAAGCAUGGCAUACGGGCAGGAUUUACACCGUCUCAGCGGGCUCUGGCAUGCACCUAGACCACUCCCUGCUACCUCCGCACGCAAGGCACCCACCGCCUCUGCCCUUGAGCGCGGUACCCUGGGCCGCGGCUCGCUUUCAUUCAGGUCGCGCCGCUCACCUGAGUCUCCGUCCGGUGCCGAUCGCGCAGCGCGUAUCGGAAGAAGGGACGAGGAAGGUUAGAAGAGGCCGCUUCGAUGUAUGUCUCAAUCCGAAGACAGACGGCUCGUCCUAGCCGACGAGAGUUCGACCGUGGGACAGCAGAGGCAGGCGGGCUGUGGCUGUGUAUGUGCAGGUCUGCCAACUGGUUCGCGUUCCACUGGACGCGUUGGCCAAAGAGCUAUCUUUAGGACAGCUGCAUUGAAGUAAAACGAUGAGAGCACAAGACACGCAGCGAAAGGGGUGGAGGAACACUGUCGGGUCGACGGAUCUGGGGGGGGGCGCGAGUGCACCCCUUCUCUUUGCAUAUGCAGGCACGCUACUCAUCUUUUAUCUCUGUAUGUCCUUCGUCCGUCUUCCUUGGUCACUGCUAGCGCCUUCGCCGCCGCCUCAGGAGGGGAUGCGCCUGACGUGAGGCCUCGAGCCUGCGCCGCAUGUCAAGGAGACGCAGCCACAAAAAAAAACGAAUAGACGUCCUUUCCUAUUUUAGCGUCUUUCACAGGUGUGUCUUUCGCCCUCCCUCUUGCUGGCAUUCCACCCCGCUCAUAUGGGGGGUGUCUCU
rnacentral:misc_RNA from 1 species